GGACCGUUAGCUCAGUUGGCUAGAGCGCGUCUUUGACGUAGACGAGGUCGUAGAUUCGAGUUCUACACGGUCCACCA
rnacentral:tRNA from 1 species